GUGAGGAAUAUUGGUCAAUGGGCGGGAGCCUGAACCAGCCAUUCCGCGUGAAGGAAGAAGGCCUUACGGGUUGUAAACUUCUUUUCUAUAAGGAGAAAAUGCCUGACGCGUCGGGUAUUGACGGUAUUAUAGGAAUAAGCAUCGGCUAACUCCGUGCCAGCAGCCGCGGUAAUACGGAGGAUGCAAGCGUUAUCCGGAUUUAUUGGGUUUAAAGGGUGCGCAGGUGGUUUAAUAAGUCAGUGGUGAAAGUCUUACGCUUAACGUGAGGAUUGCCAUUGAUACUGUUGGACUUGAGUAUGGAUGAGGUAGGUGGAAUGUGUAGUGUAGCGGUGAAAUGCAUAGAUAUUACACAGAACGCCAAUUGCGGAGGCAGCUUACUAAUCCACGACUGACGCUGAGGCACGAAAGCGUGGGGAUCAAACAGGAUUAGAAACCCCAGUAGUCC
rnacentral:rRNA from 1 species